rnacentral:rRNA from 1 species
GAUGAACGCUGGCGGCGUGCUUAACACAUGCAAGUCGAACGAUGAAGCCCAGCUUGCUGGGUGGAUUAGUGGCGAACGGGUGAGUAACACGUGAGUAACCUGCCCCUGACUCUGGGAUAAGCCCGGGAAACUGGGUCUAAUACUGGAUAUGACCUGUCACCGCAUGGUGGUGGGUGGAAAGAUUUUUUGGUUGGGGAUGGACUCGCGGCCUAUCAGCUUGUUGGUGAGGUAGUGGCUCACCAAGGCGACGACGGGUAGCCGGCCUGAGAGGGUGACCGGCCACACUGGGACUGAGACACGGCCCAGACUCCUACGGGAGGCAGCAGUGGGGAAUAUUGCACAAUGGGCGCAAGCCUGAUGCAGCGACGCCGCGUGAGGGAUGACGGCCUUCGGGUUGUAAACCUCUUUCAGUAGGGAAGAAGCCUUUGGGUGACGGUACCUGCAGAAGAAGCGCCGGCUAACUACGUGCCAGCAGCCGCGGUAAUACGUAGGGCGCAAGCGUUAUCCGGAUUUAUUGGGCGUAAAGAGCUCGUAGGCGGUUUGUCGCGUCUGCCGUGAAAGUCCGGGGCUUAACUCCGGAUCUGCGGUGGGUACGGGCAGACUAGAGUGCAGUAGGGGAGACUGGAAUUCCUGGUGUAGCGGUGAAAUGCGCAGAUAUCAGGAGGAACACCGAUGGCGAAGGCAGGUCUCUGGGCUGUAACUGACGCUGAGGAGCGAAAGCAUGGGGAGCGAACAGGAUUAGAUACCCUGGUAGUCCCAUGCCGUAAACGUUGGGCACUAGGUGUGGGGGACAUUCCACGUUUUCCGCGCCGUAGCUAACGCAUUAAGUGCCCCGCCUGGGGAGUACGGCCGCAAGGCUAAAACUCAAAGGAAUUGACGGGGGCCCGCACAAGCGGCGGAGCAUGCGGAUUAAUUCGAUGCAACGCGAAGAACCUUACCAAGGCUUGACAUGGACUGGAUCGCCGCAGAGAUGUGGUUUCCCUUCGGGGCUGGUUCACAGGUGGUGCAUGGUUGUCGUCAGCUCGUGUCGUGAGAUGUUGGGUUAAGUCCCGCAACGAGCGCAACCCUCGUUCCAUGUUGCCAGCGGGUUAUGCCGGGGACUCAUGGGAGACUGCCGGGGUCAACUCGGAGGAAGGUGAGGACGACGUCAAAUCAUCAUGCCCCUUAUGUCUUGGGCUUCACGCAUGCUACAAUGGCCGGUACAAAGGGUUGCGAUACUGUGAGGUGGAGCUAAUCCCAAAAAGCCGGUCUCAGUUCGGAUUGGGGUCUGCAACUCGACCCCAUGAAGUCGGAGUCGCUAGUAAUCGCAGAUCAGCAACGCUGCGGUGAAUACGUUCCCGGGCCUUGUACACACCGCC